UGUGUGUGUUGGGGGGGGGGCGUGUCACUCUGUGUCAACACUUCCAUCUUAGAAGGUGUGAAAAUCGGUUUGAACUUGUCUCCCAAGCUUUUUUCAUUCUUCAUGAUAAUAGAUAACAGAUUUUUGUCAGCUCUGUACAUGAACAAACAUACUCACAGUGGACAGUGUCUCUCUCAGCUCCUGCCGGGUCACUGACGUCCCACUCUGAGUCUCAGACACUGAGGUGGACCUGGGACCUGAGAUGGAAACUCUCAUGAUCAGAGUUAGUUCAGUCAAAUCUGAGUGUUCACUCUGAAUGACAAUCAUCCACGUCAAAGAACGUCCACUAAAGUUUCACCACUGACAAGUUCAGGUUAUUAUUCAGUGUCAGAGCUGUCUCUGUCCUACAGAGAGCUUUUUAUUAACGACGAAGAUCCAGAAACAUCUCUAUAUCUCACUACCAGACUCCACUGACAAAGCUGCUGGAGUACUACUGCCUCCAUCUGUUAGUCUGUAAAAUUACUGUUUUUGUCAAUGGAGUCUGGUUAAAAAAUAACAUUCAGGGUGUUACUGAGAUGUGGUGUUCACAAGAAUGGGACGAACAGACAACCUGAAAAUAUAACGAAACGUAAACAAAACAACAUAAAAAGCAGCCAGUGAGCGGGUCAGCUUCAGAGAGCGAGAGUCAUCUCAGUUUCUGAAACUGUUUCCCCUCAAAUCAGAGUGAACAAAGCCUCGAGUUUCCAUUAAACCCACUUUGUGGAACUGACCUCAGGACGUCAGGAUGCAGGAGAGUCUGAUAACUGCUGCCAUUUACAGCUCCACAGUAAAGGUUAUCACACACACUUACUGCCUUUAUUUAAUAAAGUAAGACAUGAUUCAAACAGAAACAUAAAAGAUGAUAUAUGAUGAGUUAGAAGACAAACAGGAGCUGAGUUUUAGCUUCCACGUUUAAAAAGAAACAAACAUUUUACAAGUGAUUUCAUCAACUGACAAUCUGACCCUGAUUAAAUGAUUAUUUUCUAAAGGUAUUAUAAUUCAAAGUGCAAAUGUCACUGUUAAAAACACAUUAAACAA